rnacentral:tRNA from 1 species
AAGGCCUUAGCUUAGUUAAAGUGUCUGAGUUGCAUUCAGAGGACGUGGGAUAAAGCCCUGCAGGCCUUA